UCACACGUCUACACACACUUGAAAAGAAAUAGCAUUUUAUUUCACAAUUCAUUUUUAGAAUUUCUUUGGUAUCAUUUGAGGUAAGAAAUGUGCAAGUGGUAAAUUCUUAUUUUCUUGAUAUUUUUAUAGAUAUUAGCUUGAAAUACGUUAAGGCCUUCUGGUUGAUUUUUAUGUUAAAUCCUACGGGAUUGACCAUUUGGUUGAGUAUGUAAAUCCUACGAGAUAUAUGAAUUCUUAUGAAAUUCCUUGAGCUAUUGAAUGUUGCGAUCAAUUUGCUCUAAAUCUAAGAAAUGUUGGUAUGCCAUGUCAUUUUUGUAAUUAUGUCAUGUUAAUAACAAUAUGCUUUUUUUUCUUAUUGGGUACUUUAAAAAAAAAAAAAAAAAAAACCUCACUCUUACUAAAUUUUCAGAUUAGAAUGGAUUGUAGGGACGCUUGGCGGAUUGAACGAGUGAUGUUCAUGGGGUCAAGUAAAAGUUUCUAGAAAUGAUAAAUUGCAAUUUAUAUUUAUGCAAAGUAUUCAAUUAGUAGUUUUUUUCUUUGAUGUUCAAGAAAUUGACGUUCUAUGUUAAACUUGAAUUUAUGGGUUUUUCUUGUGUUCGAACAUUUGACAUUUUAUGUUAAAUUCGAAACGAUAGUUUGAAACUGUAGUACUUUAAAGUUUUAUUUGAUGAGAAAAACCUUUCACUUAAAUUGUUGGUUAUAAUUAUAGACUUAUCAAACAAGUUUCAAAUUUUGAGUAAAAAGUAGAUUUUGCUUAAAUUAUGAAAAGAGAAAUUUUAGUAACGCUCCAAGCCAAUUUCAUAUAUAUAUGCACAUUGCACAAAAAUAUAAAUUAUGUCGUGCAAAUUAAAAAAGUUUUAAGCUUUAAAACACACGGGCAGGAAAUAUUUUCUCUUAAAGAGCAAGAAAAAUACUACGAGAAGAGGUAAAUAAGUUGUCGCAGGAAAUGUAAACCAAAAUAAGCACUAUGAUUUCCCUAACUGUAAACCAAAUUAUCACUAUGACUUCUCUAUGAUAUUUAUGGAAUCCUCGAUGAAUUUCACUUUUCUGAAAUGCAAUUACAAAAUAUAACCAUGUAUUCUCUUAUGCAACUCUGCAUUUUUAUUUAUUUAUUUAUUUAUUUUUUUUUUGGUAUCGCUUGAAUAACUAUUCAUUUCUACUUAUAUUUUUCUUGAAUUAGUAGAAAGUUUUGUGUGUCCUUAAAUAAAAAUGUAGUGGAAGUAGCACUAAUAUGUUUAGCACUUUCAAAAUCUUCAUUUCUUUCCUCGUUGUAAGUUUAGGAGUUAAGGCAAACAUGCCUCCAACCACUUUUUGUAUUUGAUUUGUUUAUUUAUAAGACACGAUCAAAGAAUCCAAAAUUCCCAUUGGGUCUAGGUGGGGGCCUAGGAAUACUGUCUAGGCUUUAAUAAUACUUUGAUUAACAAAUAAAAUAAAUGGAUAACAAUGACAAUUGAACUCAGCACCCUUUUCAUUGUUUGAUAUUAUGUUUGAACUAUCACAUCUUAAAGCUUAAGUUAUUCAAAAUGUGUCUCAUUUAUUUAAUUAAAUUAAGUUUUCAACAACAUUUUAGCUUGUUUGAUCUCCAUUUUAAAAAAUAUAUUUUUUUCUCUUUUUUCUUUUCAACCACUCAUUUUUAAAUAAAAUAAUAAUACACACAAUCCAAAAACUUUUUCUUCAAUUUUAAUUAUAUAUUCUCCAUCAAUUUACUAUUCCAAAAUACAAUCUGCACUAAAAAUGGGGCUCAAACAUAAUGUCAAAACUUUAUAGGUGUUAUUGAUUAUGCCUCAUCCCCAAAUUUCAAGACUAAAAAUAAGCAAAUCCUACACAAGUUUCAAUAAGAGACUUAUGUCCACCUGCCAUUACACUCACAAUGUUACGAAGGGAAAGAGUAACUUUUCCCCCUCGAUAAAUCCUUCUGGCAGAAGGGAUAUUAGAGAAAACUAAUACAGGUAUGAAUGCCCUAUAUGUAACGAUCCAAACCUCGUGCUUAAUUCGUUAUAUGGGACAUACUAUCUGCUUUCUCACUUAAUAUGAAAUGUCAGGAGUUCAAAUCAUGGAACCCAAUAGAAAUUAGUGAAGGGUGAGAUGGGUUCAGAUUCUUUCAAAAGUGGAUAGUACAUUUGAUGUAAGGAUUUGGACACGAGGCCUUGGUCAUUACAAAAAAAAAAAAAAAACAUGUGUUUUUUCUAUAAUGACUCAGCUCCUAUUACUCAGUCGCUAUACUUAAACCGUUAACUUACGUACUGUCCAUUUUGGGAGAGUUUGAAUCUAUUUUGCCCCUCACGAAUUUAUAUCGCAUCCUCAUGAUUCAAAUCCUUGACCUUUCCCAUAAGAAUGACCUAAAUUAAAUUCAGGUAUUAAAUAGAAAAUUUUACUUAAAUUCGAAAUGCAAAUUCUAGAAAUUGUAUUCUUGGCAACUGAAUAAUUUGGGUGUGGGAACCAGCUAGAAUGCGAUAGCAAAAACAUGCUUCAUCACGCAAAUUCUUUUUAAAUUUAAAUCCUGAGACAUUUGAGCUUCGGCAUUUUGGAAAAUAGAAAGCAAAUAAUUUUUCGUUGUACAGACAAUGAUGUAUAGCCGUGUUUGUUUUUCAAAUGGAACUAGUGGUCCAAUCCAUCGGACUAAAUGCCAAAAUUUACUGAGUGGUAUUCAAAAUUUUUUAGCAUUGCACUAAAAUAUAUUCAUUCACAACUGAAAUAUCUGAUUCCCAAUGAACUAGUUAUAUUUGCUGUCAAAAUUAUUUUUCACUAAAAAAAAAAAUAAAAAAAAAAAGGAAAUUAGUUACUGUAUAUUUUGAAGAAGUUAAAUGGGUGUAUCUAGGAUAUGGCUGGAAUCCGACAUUGAGGGUAAAUUACAAGCGUUCUACCAGUUCUAUGUUGUACUUUUCAUUUAUUAACGUUAAAAAAAUUUUAGUUCCAACAUUUUUUUGGUCAUAUUUUAUACAAAUGGCUUCGUAAAUUUUCAAUAUUUCAAAGGCAGUAAUGAAAGCGUGGUCUAAAUUGUCUUGGCCUAGGUACUCCUGAUAUCGCAGGACAAUAAAUUCCCAUCAAACGAAUAUGUAAAUUCAAACAAGACCAUUGAAGUGAGAAGCAUUUCUUCAAUUUUCUGUCCAAAUUUCAAGAGUGAAAUACUGAAAUGGAUAUCCAAAUAUCUGCUGCUCCAUUUUCCACCAAAAAUAUGAGAAUUCAGGAUACUCGUCGCUCUGUCAAGUAUCAUCCUACCAUUUGGGGGGAUUAUUUCCUUGUGUAUACUUCUAAUGUAAGUUAGCUAGACCUUUUGUUCCUUGUUAAUUAACUGAAAUAUAAUUGUGUUAAAAUGUUAAAUGUACGCUUCCACUUACUUGACCAGGAUAUAUUGGCCCACGAAGAGCAAGAACGUCAAAGAUUAAAAGAAGAAGUGAAAAAGUUGCUAGUGGCUGCCCCAGAUGAUUCAUUGUAUAAACUAGACCUCAUCGAUGCAAUCCAACGUCUUGGAGUUGGUUACCAUUUUGAAAAAGAAAUUGAAAAAUCUUUAAAAUACAUCUAUGAAACUUAUCAUGAUACUCACAAUAAACAAAACAAUGAUCUUCGUAACGUUGCUCUUCGAUUUCGAUUACUCAGACAACAAGGAUAUUAUGUCUCAUGUGGUAAGUAAUUUUUGUUUUCAUGAUUCGUUACAUGUUGGGAAAUUAAAUUAUUAAUAUCAUAUAUACACACAUGCAAUAAAAAGAUUGUAACAUGCUUGUUCUCUUAUGCUUCGAAGCAAGUCAAAUAUACUUUUUAGUUAGUUAUGAUUUUUAAUGGUACUUUUUUACUAACAAAAUUUUCUUUGACAUGACCAAAUAUGAAUAUGGUGCAUGAAAAGUUUAUGUUUUCUAAUGUGAACAUGCACCUUACACAUUUAAGGUUACAUUUCAUAUUUUUUCGGGCUGAGGCAGAUGUGUUCAACAAAUUCAAGGACAGCCAAGGAAAAUUUGAGGAUUCUUUGAUUAGCGAUGUACCAGGGCUGUUAAGCUUGUAUGAGGCUGCACACUUUGGAGUACACGGGGAGGAAAUUUUAGAAGAAGCAUUGAAGUUUUCUGCCACUCACCUCAGAUCCUCGAUCCACCAGGCGAGCAAUUCUCUCUCUAGACAAGUUAGUGACGCAUUGGAGAUGCCAAUUCAUAAAACUUUGACAAGGCUCGGAGUUAAGAAAUUCUUGUCCAUUUACCAAAAAUCAGGUGAUGACGUGCUCCUGAAUUUUGCGAAAUUAGACUUCAACAUAGUGCAGAAGAUCCACCAGAAGGAGCUAAGUGACAUUACAAGGUUAGUUUGUUUUGUGAAGCUUUACUACUUGCACUUAUACAUCUGAAAAAUUGCUAAAAUUCUACUUUUGGAUAAGAAUUACAGGUGGUGGAAGGCUUUAGAUUUUGGGAAAAAAUUGUCUUUUGCAAGAGAUAGGCUGGUGGAAUGCUACUUUUGGAUAUUAUGUGUCUACUUUGAGCCUCAGUACUAUCUUGCAAGGAAAAUUCUAACCAAAGUUAUCGCCAUGACUUCUAUUAUUGAUGACAUCUAUGAUGUUUAUGGGACCCUAGACGAACUUCAACUUUUCACAGAUGCAAUUGAAAGGUGAAUUUAUUCUACUGUCUAGUUUUGAAUUAUUCUUUGUAUCUUAUUAUCUAAUAGCACAUUAUUUAUAUUGAAAUAUAUAGUCAAACAGAUUUAGAUUUGAUAUUGAAUAUUUUUGUGAGCAGGUGGGAUUUUAGUGCCAUGGAUCAGUUACCAUCAUACAUGAAACAUUUUUACAAAUCUCUUUUAGAUGUUUAUCUCGAAGCGGAGAAAGAUUUAGAAAAGAUAGGAAAAUCGUAUAGUGUUCAGUACGCGAUUGAUGAGGUAAACAAUAUUGAUAAAGUUGCUUGACUUUUAUCAAAAUUACAUCCUAUAUAUCUAAUCAAAGUUUCAAUUUACAGAUGAAAAAAUUAGUCCGAGCUUAUUUCAAAGAGGCAAAAUGGAUAUACAACGGAUAUGUUCCAACACUAGAAGAGUAUAUGAACGUCACACUAGUAUCUAGUGCUUACAUGAUGCUAUCUACAACAUCUUUAGUAGGUAUGGGAGAACUGGUAACUAAGGAAGCCUUUGAUUGGAUUUCAAGUGAACCAUUAUUAGUACGUGCUUCAUCAAUAAUCUGUAGACUAAUGGAUGACAUGGUGGGAUAUGAGGUAAGAAAUCCGAAUUCUUAGUUGGCUUUAUUCUAUAUUACACAAGUUCAUCACACAGGUUUUUUGUUCUCAUGGCUGUCAACAUAUGAGAAAAAUGUAAUAGCCUGCUCAGCAUUAGAUAAAAAAGUUUUUUUGUUGCGUUACUUGUCUGCAGUACGAGCAAAAAAUUGCAUCAGUUGAAUGUUACAUGAAAGAGACAGGGUCUUCAAAAGAAGAUGCAUUUGCUGUAUUUCAAACACAAGUCAUGAAUGCGUGGAAGGAUAUAAACCAAGAAUGCCUUAAUUCAGAUGCAAUACCAAUGGCUGUUCUCAUACGAGUAGUCAAUCUUACACGUGUCAUCAAUCUUCUAUACAAAGAGAGUGAUGGAUACUCAAAUUCUACAGCUAAGUUAAAAGAUUUUGUAACAUCGACACUCAUACAACCAGUGACAAUAUCCAAUUGAACGCAGUAACUGCAUGGGCUACUUCCAUUUUAAUGUAUCACCAUAUUAUCAUCCAUAUUUAGUGCCGUGUUGUCAAAUUCUAUGACACAAUAUUAGGUCUUGGUUAAGGUUAUUCAAAAUUGAAUUUCCUUGCAUGUAACUGAACAUUAUAUCUACUGGAAAGCCCUUUGAGUAGUUAAAAACUUUGUAUUUGUCUUGUCCAAUGUUCUAAAUAGUGAUAUUAAUGAUUAAAGUUUUUUACAAUCCCAAAUAACCCAUAACUAUCUAAUACUAUAUAUACCGAACCAAAUUUCGUCCCAAAAGAGUGUUGAGCCAUUAUUCAUUAAAGUGGACAUCCUGAUAAAGAUCGAAUAUUGAUUCUAUAUUUCUCUUGCCUCACCCAGAAGAUAUAAACAACGAGACACCAAAAUAUAAAAAAACACCAAUAAACCUUUGCCAAAUAUCUUUUAGAGUUUUAUAGAUCCAGAGAGGUGACUGGGGUUAUGGUUUGUGAAGAACGAGUUUGUUCGUAGCAAUACACUUGGAGAAAAGAAGUUCUGAGGUUCUGGAGUUGGUGCUAGAGAACACAAUCGAGGAGUUCUAUAGUGAUUACAUGUUGGGGGGUUAGAGUUUACUGAGGUUCAGUUAUGUCUAAACCAAUACUGUAAGUUCAAUAUUUUCUAGUGAAUUAUUUACUGGCACAUGUGC
rnacentral:lncRNA from 1 species